UCCGUAGGUGAACCUGCGGAAGGAUCAUUACCACACCGAUCUACGAUCAUUGUUUUCGCGAAAGAUGCUUGUAUGGUAGAUUUUGAACUGCGGUUCCCUUGUCCUCUAAAGGAUAGUGAAAGGGGAUCGUGUUGGAUCUGUCCAAGCCAAACAUGAAUGGAAAUGAUAGCCCUGGGACAAGGAGAUGCGUCUUAGGGUUAAUUGUUUUUGUACAUGUCAAACCUUUAAUGAUGACACUGUUCUUGAAUAGUGCCAUUGUUCUUCAUACUGAGAUUGUUUUGUUUGAUGAAUUGUUGAUGAUUGAACGCUGAACUACUGUAGGUUGUAGUACAUUUACUGUUGUGUUUCAUCGGAGAUUCUAGAGCAAAGCUUUUUUCCCUGCUUUCUGUCAUUCUUGGAUUAUAGAGAAGUUGAUUCUCUAUAGUGUAAGGAAUGACUAAAAAAAGGUUAGAAAACUUGUAUUGACCAGCCUGGAACAAGAACGGACUUGAUAUGAUGUAUGUACAUAUCAACGCAGUUCUUACUGUACUGAAACGCAAACUUUCUCCAACGAGGUAUUAUUCUAAUUCAUUGAUCAUUGAUGAUGAUGAUGAUGAGAAUGAUACUGAAGGUGAGAAAUUAGUUGAAAGUCAAAAAUUAUUCUUAAUUUAGCAAAUACAACUUUCAGCAAUGGAUGUCUAGGUUCCCACAACGAUGAAGAACGCAGCGAAAUGCGAUACGUAAUGCGAAUUGCAAGACCUCGAGAAUCAUCAAAAUUUUGAACGCACAUUGCGCUGCUUGGAAUUUCCUAGUAGCAUGGUUGUCUGAGUGUCCGUGGACCCCAAUCAGCGCCGUAGGAUGGAAUUCCAUCCUUCUGUUGCUAGAGAGAGGUGGAGUUGCGUUUAUUUAUUGUUGAUUAUAACAGUAUUGGCGAGCACUACCUCUGAUUGCCAUUGCCUGCCGUUUCCAUCCUAUGUACUUUACAUAAUUUUCACUAUGACAACUAUGUACUUACUUCUGGAUUGCUUUCGAUUGGCUCUCACGUUAAAAAGACCGUCUUCUUCAAUUCAUCCAUUGAUGAGAUUGGAUGGAGGGAUUAGCUCUAAUUGUGUAUUAUUUAUACUAGUGUACAACACGCUUUUCUAUUCGGAAUCUCUUGUAAAAUAUGUUAUAAUUUAUUGGCCUUCUCUUUUACUGGAAGAAGAGCCAAGCAUAACACAUUGGGAUAGAGAUUUGUGUCUAUAAGGGAGCUUGUACAGUUGACAGGUGAUACCAAUUGGGAAGAAUCCGAGCGUGAUUUCCUGCUGUUAGUAGUAGUACUACAACUCAUGAACGCACAGGAGUAUAUUUUUGUGUCCGGAUCUCAGCUCAAACAAGAGGACCCGCUGAAUUUAAGCAUAUCAAUAAGCGGAGGA
rnacentral:sRNA from 1 species